UCACACUGAAUUUUAUUCCCUUAACAGAACAUAGAUAUGCCUCUGCUGAUGCCUCCCUGCAAGGAUGUGAGGAGGUAUUCCACAUCUCUGAAAGGGACGUGUGUGUGAAAGCACACUCAGGCCAAUAUGAUGUGGUUCGCUGUGGAACGAAGAAGGCGUGCCUUGUGGCCAUGUGGGUGAGCUACACAGACUUUUGUCUACCUCCCCAGAUAGGUAUGAGGACAUAAGGGGGAUGUGCUUGGAGGAUGCAGCCUCUGAGGUGAAUGGGACGUUUAAAUGCCUCUCCUCUAGGCCCAUUGCCUUUCGACCGGUGCCUGGCUCAGUCCGCCAUUCCCCCGAGGUACAACGCCCAGUCCCAUCUUCCCAUGCUUUUACGGGACAGGGCAUGCACAAAGUCCCAGUCAUAUGAGGGUGUCAUUACCCCGGAGUUGAUGGCAUCAAUCCAGGAGGCCAGUCAGUCAAGGGCUACUAAUUUGGCACCGAGAGGCCGCAGUACAGAUGUCCAAGGUGACGAUGAAAUGGAGGCAAUAAAAACCUUAGACGCUGACACUAUUACAUACCAUGUCCUUAAG